GGCUCAGAAUCAACGCUGGCGGCGCGCUUAACACAUGCAAGUCGAACGAGAAAGCGGGAGCAAUCUCGCAAGUACAGUGGCGUACGGGUGAGUAACACGUGGGUAAUCUACCUCAUAGUGGGGAAUAACGCUGGGAACCCGGCGCUAAUACCGCAUAAGCUCGAAAGAGGAAAGCAGCAAUGCGCUGUGAGAGGAGCCCGCGGCCGAUUAGCCAGUUGGCAGGGUAAAAGCCUACCAAAGCUAAGAUCGGUAGCCGGCCUGAGAGGGCACACGGCCACACUGGCACUGAAACACGGGCCAGACUCCUACGGGAGGCAGCAGUGGGGAAUCUUGCACAAUGGGGGAAACCCUGAUGCAGCGACGCCGCGUGAGCGAUGAAGCCCUUCGGGGUGUAAAGCUCUUUCGGCAGGGACGAUAAUGACGGUACCUGCAGAAGCAGCUGCGGCUAACUACGUGCCAGCAGCCGCGGUAAUACGUAGGCAGCGAGCGUUGUUCGGAGUUACUGGGCGUAAAGGGUGUGUAGGCGGUUUUCUAAGUUUGGUGUGAAAUCUCCCGGCUCAACCGGGAGGGUGCGCCGAAAACUGGAAGGCUAGAGUGCGGGAUGGGAGAGUAGAAUUCCUGGUGUAGCGGUGAAAUGCGUAGAUAUCAGGAGGAAUACCGGUGGUGUAGACGGCUCUCUGGACCGCGACUGACGCUGAGACACGAAAGCGUGGGUAGCAAACAGGAUUAGAUACCCUGGUAGUCCACGCCCUAAACGAUGCAUAUUUGGUGUAGGUCAUUCAGUUGAUCUGUGCCGGAGCUAACGCGUUAAAUAUGCCGCCUGGGGAGUACAGUCGC
rnacentral:rRNA from 1 species